UUCAUGCCGUGGAGGAAGUGGUGAAGGAGGUGGUGGGACAUGCCAAGGAGACUGGAGAGAAAG
rnacentral:sRNA from 1 species